rnacentral:rRNA from 1 species
UAGUCAUAUGCUUGUCCUAAGAUUAAGCCAUGCAUGUCCAAGUAUAAACCUUUAUACGGUGAAACUGCGAAUGGCUCAUUAUAUCAGUUAUAAUUUACAUGAUGAUGACUUGCUACAUGGAUAACCGUGGUAAUUCUAGAGCUAAUACAUGCAAAGGGCCCGCGAGGGUGGCAUUUAUUAGAUGGAACCAGCGAAAGAUGGUGAAUCAUGAUAACUGAGCGGAUCGCAUGGCCUCGAGCUGGCGACGCUUCAUUCAAAUUUCUGCCCUAUCAACUUUGGAUGGUAGGAUAGAGGCCUACCAUGGUGGUGACGGGUGACGGGGAAUUGGGGUUCGAUUCCGGAGAGGGAGCCUGAGAGAUGGCUACCACUUCCAAGGAAGGCAGCAGGCGCGCAAAUUACCCAAUCCCGACACGGGGAGGUAGUGACAGUAAAUAACGAUGCGGGGCCAUAUGGUCUUGCGAUUGGAAUGAGAGGAAUGUAAAUCAGUUAACGAGUAACGAUU